GAUGAACGCUGGCGGCGUGCUUAACACAUGCAAGUCGAACGGAAAGGCUCCUGCUUGCAGGGGUACUCGAGUGGCGAACGGGUGAGUAACACGUGGGUGAUCUGCCCUGCACUUCGGGAUAAGCCUGGGAAACUGGGUCUAAUACCGGAUAGGACGAUGGUUUGGAUGCCAUUGUGGAAAGUUUUUCGGUGUGGGAUGAGCUCGCGGCCUAUCAGCUUGUUGGUGGGGUAAUGGCCUACCAAGGCGUCGACGGGUAGCCGGCCUGAGAGGGUGUACGGCCACCUUGGGACUGAGAUACGGGCCAGACUCCUACGGGAGGCAGCAGUGGGGAAUAUUGCACAAUGGGCGGAAGCCUGAUGCAGCGACGCCGCGUGGGGGAUGACGGCCUUCGGGUUGUAAACUCCUUUCGCUAGGGACGAAGCGCAAGUGACGGUACCUGGAGAAGAAGCACCGGCUAACUACGUG
rnacentral:rRNA from 1 species